rnacentral:rRNA from 1 species
UACGAAGGGGGCUAGCGUUGCUCGGAUUUACUGGGCGUAAAGGCGCGUAGGCGGAUUUCUAAGUCGGGGGUGAAAGCCCAGGGCUCAACCCUGGAAUUGCCUUCGAUACUGGAAGUCUUGAGUACGGGAGAGGUGAGUGGAACUCCCGAGUGUAGAGGUGAAAUUCGUAGAUAUUCGGAAGAACACCAGUGGCGAAGGCGACUCACUGGCCCGUACUGACGCCUGAGGCGCGAA